rnacentral:tRNA from 2 species
GCACCCGUAGCUCAGUUGGAUAGAGUACCUGGCUACGAACUAGGGGGUCGGGAGUUCGAAUCUCUCCGGGUGCGCCA